AACGGAGAGUUUGAUCCUGGCUCAGGACGAACGCUGGCGGCGUGCCUCAAACAUGCAAGUCGAGCGGAGUUAAGCCUGACCGCAAGGGAGGGUUUAACUCAGCGGCGAACGGGUGAGUAACGCGUGGGUAACCUGCCCGGAAGACUGGGAUAACGGCUCGAAAGGGCCGCUAAUACCGGAUAAUGUCUUUACUCCGCAUGGAGUGAGGAAGAAAGGGGAAACCC
rnacentral:rRNA from 1 species